UCCCCCUUUUUAUACUUUUAAAAAAGGACUUCUUGCACCAAAAAAAGAAGAGAGUUAUUUCGCAAUUGGUACGAGAUUUGGUAAUCAAGUCCACUAAGUAUUCUUCUUAUUAGAAAAAAAACAACUUGUAAUUUCGAAAAAAAAAAUCCAAUAUUUUUUUUUGACUCUAUUUAGAAAUGGGUAAAUUAAUAAAAAGAAAACAAGAUAAAUAAUUAACAAAAAGCGACAAUAUAGAAAAAAAUAGCAAGAAUAGGGCAUUUAAAAAAUAUAGAUAAAAUAAGAAAAAAUAGAUAAUUAGUCUAUCUAUAAGAUCUACAAGAAUAAGAUAAAAGGAGAUCAUAUGAAAAAUGGAAUCAAAUCUUUCGUUUCCUUAGGCCACU
rnacentral:lncRNA from 1 species